AUUGAACGCUGGCGGCAGGCCUAACACAUGCAAGUCGAACGGUAACAGGAAGAAGCUUGCUUCUUUGCUGACGAGUGGCGGACGGGUGAGUAAUGUCUGGGAAACUGCCUGAUGGAGGGGGAUAACUACUGGAAACGGUAGCUAAUACCGCAUAACGUCGCAAGACCAAAGGGGGGGACCUUCGGGCCUCUUGCCAUCGGAUGUGCCCAGAUGGGAUUAGCUAGUAGGUGGGGUAACGGCUCACCUAGGCGACGAUCCCUAGCUGGUCUGAGAGGAUGACCGGCCACACUGGAACUGAGACACGGUCCAGACUCCUACGGGAGGCAGCAGUGGGGAAUAUUGCACAAUGGGCGCAAGCCUGAUGCAGCCAUGCCGCGUGUAUGAAGAAGGCCUUCGGGUUGUAAAGUACUUUCAGCGGGGAGGAAGGGAGUAAAGUUAAUACCUUUGCUCAUUGACGUUACCCGCAGAAGAAGCACCGGCUAACUCCGUG
rnacentral:rRNA from 1 species